CGCCCCCUCGCGCCCGGCCUGAGCGGGGGGAAGGGGGCCCCGGAGGCCGAGGGAUGGGGGGCCACGUGCUCCCGCGCGCCCCCGCGGCCCGCGCUGCCAUGGAGACGGAGCUGGGCCCCUGCCAGGCCCUGGGGCGCCCCGCGCCCCGCUGGGCACGUGCAGCGCUGAGCCCCGCAGCCGGGCGAGCAGCAGGCUGGCGCGGGCCGCCCUCGAGGACAGCGGGGAGCUGCCUCCAGCUACAGCUAGGGGCGGGCAGGGUCACCGCGGAGCACAGCACUGGGCCAGCAGACCAGGAGCCACGGUGACAGGCGCCCACACGGCUUCACGUCCGCCGGCCGGCGGAGCGGCGAGCAGCGAUGGGCCGCUGCGCCAAGGCCCCCCGGCAGCUCCCAUCAUCACGCCCCAGGGCCAGCGGCUCCGAAAGGAGAACGUCGGGCGCGAGGAGCCCUCUGCCCCGCCACCCUUCGUGAAUGCACCCCGCCGGGGGGAGGCGGGCUGCGGGCUACCCCUGCUCAGACUCCGCUCCUUCAAUGCCCCAGAAAGAGAAGGGACUUUCCGGUGCAGAAGCUGAGUUCUUAGCGGUGUGGGCGCUCUCCCAGCGCUGUAAGAAACCACCUCCGCCGGGGGGGAGCGACCAGCGCUGUCCACGCCGCCACGGCCAGCCCUGGAAACACCCCCGCGACGGCGGGCUCAGCGCUGCCGGCAGCGUAGGCGGGGCCUGCCCCACGCGCGCGAGGUCCGAGUGUUUUGGCCAGCAGUAGCCCUUGGUGCUCUGCAUGCCCCCCUUCCCACCCCCAGCUGAGGACAAAAGUGGGGAACAAGGUCGACCCACUCUCCGUUCCUGUGCUGGUGUAGAGUCCAGCUAGCGUUACAUGCCGCAGGAGCAGGGAAGGAGGGUGGGGCGUGGAAUACAGUUAGACAACAUGUCCUGAAGAACUCCAGUUACUGUACUGUACAGGAAGGUCGGUAUGGAAGCUGACACUACCAGUGCAGCUAUUUUCACAGAAGAAGAAAAGAGAGAAUCAGGCAGAGCUAAGCCAGUUAAAUCCACCACUGUGGUAAAUCUUGGUACCAGUAGUAAGAGGUUCAAGACAGUGGAUGAUGGCACCAGAAAUGUUGGCACAGGUGCAGAAAAUUCCAUGACUGAUUAUCACAAGAGUAUGUGAUGGUACUGGGCACUCCAUACCAAAGUCAGAGUGAACAUUAGGUGGUACUGGAGUUUUACUAACAGGGAGUGCCAGUACGACAUGGAUCACCCCUGAGCUAUCCUUUCAAAGUAGAGAGAAGGGAUCUCUCCCUUGCUGUCUUAGACCAUCCUUGGAAUGGAGACCCACAUCCGUGUUCCUCAAGGGAGGGGGGCUGUGACCUAUCCUUGUCAGACAAGGAGAAAGGCUUUACAGACACAGCAGCAGGGGAUUGUCUCAAAGCACUAAAGGGUGAUGCAAACAUAGUGCCUGCUGCAACGCUUUUGGAAGAGGACUUUGUAGAACUCAUCUGGUCUCGUUUUCCUGGGUCAGAAGCAGGACUCAUGGACUUGUCUUACAGAAACAUUUUAAGCAAGCAUCUGUCACUUUCAGGGACUGCUUGGAGAAUGAGUAUCCAUCAUUAAGAGGAAGUGCAGCCUCACAUGAUGAAUAAUGCUUAAACCCAAGGGAUUUCUGGUCAGCCAUAAGACUGAAUACCCCAUACCCGGUGAACAAAAUAGAAACAAGGUAGAAAAGUCACCCAGCUAAGACUUAUAAAAAAACCUGUCCUAGAUGCUAACACCCAGCUAACUACACUAAGGGCAGCUAUAUACAAAAACCUUAACUAGAUCGUAAGUGCAAGAGACAGGAACACUGCUCGACACUGUGUCUUUCAGCCACGGGUAGUAAGAAGGAACUGAGGGUCAGUUGGCCUCGCUCUGGCCUUUCUGCCCUGGGCUAGGUGAGGGCAUGCAGGGGUGGAGGCAGGGAACACAAGGCGCUGCUGGCCAAAGGAUUCUCUCCUCAAGCGCAGUUGCACCACAAGUGGAAUACUACAGACAGGAACCGGCAUUACUACCUCACAGCAGGACUAAUCACCACUUUUUAGAAAGGUGAGUUUACUCAGUGAGGAAGAGGGAAUAAUUCUCACACAUUUUACCUGCUUCUUAGUGACCUCCUCUGCCGUUUUCUGAUCCUCUCACUGCCUAAAUCCAACCUGCUUCUCAUCCUCUGUUGCCCUCCCCACGUCAAACCAGCCCCUCCCAAACUGCCUAAUUCCGUUCAUUCCUCCACCACUGUCCAAAAUGUCAUGACCAGCUGGUUCCUCAUUUGGUACUAGGCCUUGCAUGGUCAUAAUUUAAAAUCAUCAGACACCCCGCGGAACCUGUCCAAUCCAGUCCUUCCCAACCGUCACUCUCCCUCAAACCUGCUCUGUUCAAACCAGUGGUCUCUCCCCAUGCCAGUCUGCCCAGUUUAAACUGUUUCACUCCACCCUAGCCUACCCCCUUCAUACUCUUAAUCCCCACUCCAGUCACCCCUCCUAGCAUGCCCAAUUCAAACUGACAUUCCCAACUGUCACUUCUCCCUCCAUAUCAACUGACAUUCCCAACAACCCUUACACCCGAUUGCUGCUGCCACCCCAUUCCAAUGGCCAUUCCCAGCACCUGUCACUCCCCACCCAAUCCCACCUGCCAUGUCCAUUGCCACUCCCGCUCCUAACCUGCUCCAUCCCAACUGCCAAUCCCAACUGGCACUCCCUGUCCAGAUCAGACUGCCAGUCCCAAUUGUCACCCCGCAUCCCAUCUGCCAGUCCCAACUGUCACCCCCUCAUCCCAACUGCCAGUCCCAACUGUCACUCCCCGUCCAGAUCAGACUGCCAGUCCCCUGUCACCCCUCACCCCAUCUGCCAGUCCCAACUGUCACCCCCUCAUCCCAACUGCCAAUCCCAACUAUCACUCCCCGUCCAGAUCAGACUGCCAGUCCCCUGUCACCCCUCACCCCAUCUGCCAGUCCCAACUGUCACUCCCCUUCCAGAUCGGACUGCCAGUCCCAACUGUCACCCCUCACCCCAUCUGCCAGUCCCAACUGUCACCCCCUCAUCCCAACUGCCAAUCCCAACUAUCACUCCCCAUCCAGAUCAGACUGCCAGUCAAACUGUCACCCCUCACCCCAUCUGCCAGUCCCAACUGUCACUCCCCGUCCGAUCAGACUGCCAGUCCCAACUGUCACCCCCUCACCCAAUCUGCCAGUCCCAACUGUCACUCCCCUUCCAGAUCGGACUGCCAGUCCCAACUGUCACCCCUCACCCCAUCUGCCAGUCCCAACUGUCACCCCCUCAUCCCAACUGCCAGUCCCAACUGUCACUCCCCGUCCAGAUCAGACUGCCAGUCAAACUGUCACCCCUCACCCCAUCUGCCAGUCCCAACUGUCACCCCCUCAUCCCAACUGCCAAUCCCAACUAUCACUCCCCAUCCAGAUCAGACUGCCAGUCAAACUGUCACCCCUUACCCCAUCUGCCAGUCCCAACUGUCAGUCCCCGUCCGAUCAGACUGCCAGUCCCAACUGUCACCCCCUCACCCAAUCUGCCAGUCCCAACUGUCACCCCCUCAUCCCAACUGCCAAUUGCCAUCCAGAUUGGACUGCCAGUCCCAACCGUCACCCCCUCAUCCAACUGCCAGUCCCAACUGUCACUCCCCGUCCAGUUCAAACUGCCAAUCCCAACCCCAAAUCACCCAGUUCUAUCUGCAACUCCCAGUCUCUUCCCUCCCAAUCUGCUUCUUGCAAUCUCCACUCUCCAGCCUGUCUGCUUCCAACUGGCCACCUCAGACUUCCCGUAUCCCAACUGCCACAGAACCUUCUUGUUCCAAUAGCCCACCUCGUGCUCUUGCUAAAGGGGUAUCACCCAAAACACCUGCUGGCUAGGCCACUCCUUGUGCACCUGUUCCACAUGCUUUCUGCCCUCUGGAUUUUGCAAAGGGCCCCAAGAUGUUAGCUAGCGUGGAACUUUUGACUCCUCACCAAAUGACAGUAUCCCACUGGAGCUGAUCAAUGUGCUGUCAGAUAGCCUUGUUUUCCUCCACUCUGCCCUUGCCUUGGGGAACAAGAGUCCAGGGAAGCCGAACCCCAGGGGAUAUUUCAGUUUGAUUCCUUGGCGGUUUUGGUUAUACAAGGUGCAGUUUAGUGGGGCUGUACUGCAUGGACCAUACUGGACUUUCAUCAGGUUGGAUUCACAGCAUCUGAGAGUUGCUGAGACAGAAUGGGGAGGAACUGGUUCCAUACUAAGCUGUCACUUGUAAGUGGCACCAGUACCUAGGGAAUUCAGCAGUGUACUGGUUAAAUCAGUACACUGAACACUCAUCUGUGUUACCUAGGCUGAAGGAUCAAACUUCAAGCAGUUUGUUUCUGUAUUUUUAUUAGAGCUACUUCUACAUUUGGGUUUUUGAUAAAAGCUCUCAUGGAAGCCUUGUGUGCCUCAAGCAAUGAUUCAGAGAGGAAGCAGUUUAGUAUAUAAGGGAGGACAUUCCAGAUGUUGAAAGCAACCUGGAGCAAGGAGGUUAGAGGUCAAUGGGGAAAGGAUACUAGUGAAGCAUGUAGGAGAAAAGUCGUGGUGGAGCAUAGAGAGCAGUAAUGGGGAGCAAGAGGAAACCAGAUCAAAGAUGUACACGUGAGCUGAGUCAUGCAGAGCCCUGAAGAUGAAGACAAGAAUCAAAACUUGAUAUGGAAGGUGGGAGAAAUGACUCAAGCAGAAAGUGAAACAUCCUUGCAUUAGUAAGUAACCUCAUUCACUUCCUUGUCUCCUGGUGGCAUCAUGUAUCACAAACCUCUUUUGCCAGACCCACUGCUGGGCACUAUGCAAAAUGCAGAAGAAACCAUCUCUUGCCCCAAGGACGACGCAAUGUAAACUGAAGGGCCAUACAGAACAUACCGGGACACCGAGAGGAAAGGAUGAAUCUUGGCUGUUUUGACCACUCCACUGAAUCGUCUUCUGCUCUGGCUCUUUGGGGAAUGUGAUAGUGAAGAGGGGAACCUUAUGGUGUGACUUGAAGAUGUGCCACUCCCUCACCAGCAGGACCUGUUCUGUCCUUCCGAUAUAUUUUGUACCUUGGUAUUACUGUGUCCCAUUGAGUAUCCUCAUUCCACCAAGUUUCUGUGAUGCCUAUUAUAUCAAUCUCCUCAUUCAAUACGAGGCACUCUAGUUCACUCAUCUUAUUAUUUAGACUUCUAGCAUUUGUAUAUCAGCACUUUAAAAAAUUGACACUUUUUAGCUGUCUGCCGUUAUGUGAUGGAACUGAAUGGGACUUUUUCAUUUUCAUGGCUACCCGCAUGGCCCCACAGUAUGCCAACAUUUUUAUGGCUGACUUAGAACAACGCUUCCUCAGCUCUUGUCCCCUGACGCCCCUCCUCUACUUGCGCUACAUUGAUGACAUCUUCAUCACCUGGACCCAUGGGAAGGAGGACCUUGAGGAAUUCCACCAGGAUUUCAACAAUUUCCACUCCACCACUAACCUCAGCCUGGACCAGUCCAUACAAGAGAUCUACUUCCUAGACAUUACAGUUCUAAUAAGUGAUGGUCACAUAAACACCACCCUAUAUCGGAAACCUACUGACCACUAUUCCUACCUACAUGCCUCCAGCUUUCACCCAGACCACACCGCACAAUCCAUUGUCUACAGCCAAGCUCUAAGAUACAACCGCAUUUGCUCCAAUCCCUCAGACAGAGACAAACACCUACAGGAUUGUCAUGGAGUGUGGGGGAGUCAGGGCCCUGCACCCCUCUUCCUGGGAUUCACCGUUACUCUCAGCCAGUCAGUAAAACAGAAGGUUUAUUGGACAAUAGGAACACAGUCUAAAACAGAGCUUGUGGGUACAACCAGGACCCCUCAGUCAAGUCCUUCUCGGGGGCAGGGAGCUUAGACCCCAGCCUUGGGGUUCCCUGCUUUCUACCACCCAGCACAAAACUGAAACCAAAACCCCCCACAAGACUCUCUCCUCUAGCCUUUGUCCAGUUUCCGGGGCCAAGGUGUCACCUGGUCCCACCCCCUUCCUGGCUCAGGUCACAGGCUCAUCCCCUGCUAUCCCAUCCCCAAUGCCGACAGGCCCAGUAGAAUUAGACGACAUUCACCGGUCAAUCCACCCCACUUCCUACUGCGUCACAAGGAUCUCUAUCAAGUGUUCUUACAACUACAAUACCCACCUCUAACGUGAAGAAAUAGACUGACAGAGCCAGAAGACUACCCAGAAGUCACCUAUUACAGGACAGGCCCAACAAAGAAAGUAACAGAACGCCACUAGCCGUCACCUUCAGCCCCCAACUAAAACCUCUCCAACGCAUCAUCAAGGAUCUACAACCUAUCCUGAAGGAUGAUCCCGCAUUCUCACAGACCUUGGGAGACAGGCCAGUCCUUGCUUACAGACAGCCCCCCAACCUGAAACAAAUACUCACCAGCAACCACACACCACACAACAGAACCACUAACCCGGGAACCUAUCCUUGCAACAAACCCUGAUGCUUACUCUGUCUGCAUAUCUAUUCAGGGGACACCAUCAUAGGACCUAACCACAUCAGCCACACCAUCAGGGGCUCGUUCACCUGCACAUCUACCAAUGUGAUAUAUGCUAUCAUGUGCCAGCAAUGCCCUUCUGCCAUGUACAUUGGCUAAACCAGACAGUCUCUACGCAAAAGAAUAAAUGGACACAAAUCAGAUGUCAAGAAUUGUAACAUUCAAAAACCAGUAGGAAAGCAUUUCAAUCUCCCUGGACACUCAAUAACAGAUUUAAAAGUGGCCAUUCUUCAACAAAAAAAAAAUCUUCAAAAACAGAUUCUAACAUGAAACUGUAGAACUGGAAUAAAUUUGCAAACUGGACACCUUCAAAUUAGGCCUGAAUAAAGACUGGGAGUGGAUGGGUCACUAGAAUCAUAGAAUCAUAGAAUAUAAGGGUUGGGAGGGACCCCAGAAGGUCAUCUAGUCCAACCCCCUGCUCGAAGAAAAAGUAAUUAUCUCUCUGCUGAUACUCGUACUUUCUUGUCAACUGUUGGUAAUGGGCCACCUUAUUUGCAUUGGCCUUGUUAGCACUACAAAAGUAAUUUUCCCUCCCCUCCACCCCCACGAACAUGAUACAGUUCUGUGGUGACCUAGAAUCCUAUUUUCAAUGUCUCCGACUCAAGGAAUAUUUCCAAUAUACCUCUGAACAACAUACUAAUCCACAGAGACCUCCCUACCAACACAACAAAAAGAAGGAUUCUAGGUGGACUCCUCCUGAAGGUCGAAACAGCAGACUGGACUUCUACAUAGAGUGCUUCCGCCGACGUGCACGGGCUGAAAUUGUGGAAAAGCAGCAUCACUUGCCCCAUAACCUCAGCCGUGCAGAACACAAUGCCAUCCACAGCCUCAGAAACAACUCUGACCUCAUAAUCAAAAAGGCUGACAAAGGAGGUGCUGUUGUCAUCAUGAAUAGGUCGGAAUAUGAACAAGAGACUGCUUGGCAGCUCUCCAACACCACUUUCUACAAGCCAUUACCCUCUGAUCCCACUGAGAGUUACCAAAAGAAGCUACAGCAUUUGCUCAAGAAACUCCCUGAAAAAGCACAAGAUCAAAUCCGCACAGACACACCCCUGGAACCCCGACCUGGGAUAUUCUAUCUGCUACCCAAGAUCCAUAAACCUGGAAAUCCUGGGCACCCCAUCAUCUCAGGCAUUGUCACUCUGAGAGCAGGAUUGUCUGGCUAUAUAGACUCCCUCCUCAGGCCCUACGCUACCAGCACUCCCAGCUACCUUCGAGACACCACUGACUUCCUGAGGAAACUACAAUCCAUCGGUGAUCUUCCUGAUAACACCAUCCUGGCCACUAUGGAUGUAGAAGCCCUCUACACCAACAUUCCACACAAAGAUGGACUACAAGCCAUCAAGAACACUAUCCCCGAUAAUGUCACGGCUAACCUGGUGGCUGAACUUUGUGACUUUGUCCUCACCCAUAACUACUCCACAUUUGGAGACAAUGUAUACCUUCAGAUCAGCGGCACUGCUAUGGGUUCCCGCAUGGCCCCACAGUAUGCCAACAUUUUUAUGGCUGACUUAGAACAACGCUUCCUCAGCUCUCGUCCCCUAACACCCCUACUCUACUUGCGCUAUAUUGAUGACAUCUUCAUCAUCUGGACCCAUGGAAAAGAAGCCCUUGAGGAAUUCCACCAUGAUUUCAACAAUUUCCAUCCCACAUCAACCUCAGCCUGGUCCAGUCCACACAAGAGAUCCACUUCCUGGAUACUACAGUGCUAAUAAACGAUGGUCACAUAAACAUCACCCUAUACCGGAAACCCACUGACCGCUAUUCCUACCUACAUGCCUCCAGCUUUCACCCUGACCACACCACAUGAUCUGCGAUACAACCGCAUUUGCUCCAACCCCUCAGACAGAGACAAACACCUACAAGAUCUCUAUCAAGCAUUCUUACAACUACAAUACCCACCUGCGGAAGUGAAGAAACAGAUUGAUAGAGCCAGAAGAGUUCCCAGAAGUCACCUACUACAGGACAGGCCUAACAAAGAAAAUAACACAACGCCACUAGCCGUCACCUUCAGCCCCCAACUAAAACCCCUCCAACGCAUUAUUAAGGAUCUACAACCUAUCCUGAAGGAUGACCCAACACUCUCACAAAUCUUGGGAGACAGGCCAGUCCUCGCUUACAGACAGCCCCCGAAUCUGAAGCAAAUACUCACCAGCAACCACAUACCACACAACAGAACCACUAACCCAGGAACCUAUCCUUGCAACAAAGCCCAUUGCCAACUGUGCCCACAUAUCUAUUCAGGGGACACCAUCAUAGCGCCUAAUCACAUCAGCCACACUAUCAGGGGCUCGUUCACCUGCACAUACACCAAUGUGACAUAUGCCAUCAUGUGCCAGCAAUGCCCCUCUUCCAUGUACAUUGGUCAAACUGGACAGUCUCUACGUAAAAGAAUAAAUGGACACAAAUCAGAUGUCAAGAAUUAUAACAUUCAUAAACCAGUCGGAGAACACUUCAAUCUCCCUGGUCACGCGCUUACAGACACGAAAGUUGCGAUAUUACAACAAAAAAACUUCAAAUCCAGACUCCAGCGAGAAACUGUUGAAUUGGAAUUCAUUUGCAAAUUGGAUACAAUUAACUUAGGCUUGAAUAGAGACUGGGAGUGGCUAAGUCAUUAUGCAAGGUAACCUAUUUUCCCUUGUUUUUUCCUACCCCUCCCCCCCAGACGUUCUUGUUAAACCUGGAUUUGCGCUGGAAAUGGCUCACCUUGAUUAUCAUACACAUUGUAAGGAGAGUGGUCACUUUAGAUAAGCUAUUACCAGCAGGAGAAUGGGUUUGUGGGGGGUGGGGGGUGUGAGAAAACCUGGAUUUGUGCUGGAAAUGGCCCACCUUGAUUAUCAUACACAUUAGAUAAGCUGUUACCAGCAGGAGAGUGGGGUG